rnacentral:lncRNA from 1 species
AUGAGAAGUGAUUCAGACCAGCAGAACAGAAGACACAAAAGACAACUUUCCACAACUGCUUCAGAGAGGGGAUAAGUGCGUUCAACGCAAGAGGGAAUAUCUUGAGAGGCCAGGAGAAAUUGAAGGGGCAGACCAGGAGAUCUGGAGGAAGUCCUUGGUUUUGUGUGCCUGUUUCACAGUACAAGGUGGUGGGGAAUCGAGACCAGGAUCCGGGAGAGGAAAUCCUCUGCCAGCCCCAGCUGGAACAAAAAUCAAGGAAAUGGUGGAGUGAGCAAAAUAGGAAAAGAGAUUUCACAAUCUCUUUGAACAUGAAAGUCACAGAAAGAUGAGACAACUGAGAUCCAAUGAAAUGGUCUUUUCCAAAUUUCCUCCUAAAUCACACUUCUACUGAGGAACCAGAGCUACUUACGUGCUAUCAUCAUUUAUUGCUAAUGCUCACCUUACAAAGGGCAUAAAGUAAAACUCUAGAAGUAGUUUUUGAUAAAAAUAAAAAUUUGGAGACAUAAGUUCUCACUACUAUAUAAUCACUACUAUUUCAAGAAUUUUGUUUUUGACACCAUAUUUUCAUACUGCAUUCUUGAAAGCUGUGAUAGCCAAGAUAUUUCCGUAAAUGCCAAGAACUCUGUGCUACUACAAAAUACUAUUAAAGUACAGCAAUAAGAUUCAAGUUUUUCUGCCCUUUCAGUAUUUAUGGCAUAGGGAAUAUACUUAAAGUUUAAGUGCCAAAUACUGUAUGUGAAAAAUCUCAUCAAUACAGCAUUUCUAUAGUUUACAAAAGACUUUCUCACACUGCUACAUUUGAUAAUAAUGAGAAACAAGGUUCCGGUAAAUAUUAGUAUAAACCAUACUGAUGUUCUGACAACAUGUAUCCACUUUCUCAGACUUUAAAUCUACUGCUAACAAUACAAUAUAUGAUGAAAUAUAAUAUUGGGCAAUUAAAUAGUUAAAACCCAGAUUUAUAAAUCAAAAUAAAACAAUUAGCA